rnacentral:ncRNA from 1 species
AUUCUGGUUGAUCCUGCCAGUAGUUAUAUGCUUGUCUCAAAGAUUAAGCCAUGCAUGUCUAAGUACACACGAAUUAAAAGUGAAACCGCAAAAGGCUCAUUAUAUCAGUUAUGGUUCCUUAGAUCGUUAACAGUUACUUGGAUAACUGUGGUAAUUCUAGAGCUAAUACAUGCAAUUAAAACAUGAACCUUAUGGGACAUGUGCUUUUAUUAGGCUAAAACCAAGCGAUCGCAAGAUCGUUAUAUUGGUUGAACUCUAGAUAACAUGCAGAUCGUAUGGUCUUGUACCGACGACAGAUCUUUCAAAUGUCUGCCCUAUCAACUUUUGAUGGUAGUAUCUAGGACUACCAUGGUUGCAACGGGUAACGGGGAAUCAGGGUUCGAUAUUGCCGGAGAGGGAGCCUGAGAAACGGCUACCACAUCCCUUUGAAGCAGCAGGCGCGUAAAUUACCC